UACGGGGGGAGCAAGCGUUGUUCGGAUUUACUGGGCGUAAAGCGUACGCAGACGGUGAGAAAGGUCGGAUGUGAAAGCCCCGGGCUCAACCCGGGAACUGCAUCCGAAACCAUCUCGCUCGAGUGUGGGAGAGGGAAGCGGAAUUCCUGGUGUAGAGGUGAAAUUCGUAGAUAUCAGGAGGAACACCGGCGGCGAAGGCGGCUUCCUGGCCCAUUACUGACGUUCAGGUACGAAAGCGUGGGUAGCAAACAGG
rnacentral:rRNA from 1 species